rnacentral:rRNA from 1 species
CGAUACCCGAAAGCCGGUGGGCUAACCCUCGGGGAGGCGAGCCGUACGAAGGUAGGGUCGGAUGUAGUUGGGUG